AUGACGAGCUCGAGCACGCAGCUUCUCGUUCGAUGUGGCACGCGCAGCAUUUGCCAAGCUUCCGCAUCGUUACCUGAGCUCCUUGUCCGCGGCCGUUCGAGUGUAACGAUCCGAGUGUGACGUCACCCAAUGCAGUUGCGAGGCCUCCUGCUGCGCUUCCGCGGCGUUCCUGGUUGCGGGCAAGUUUGCAUCGGCGCCGCCACACUGCACUGUUUCACGACGAGCGGCUUUCCUCUACGCUUGUGGCUGCACUGCCAGAAUAUAAACAUGGUUGGCCGCGGGUCGACACACAAGGCUGAGCAAGUCGCCACGUGGCGCUUCACCGAGGAAGACGGGCCAGUCAUUAUUCAAGGCAAGUCCAUGAGCAGUCCGUGAACGAUAGGUGGCGUGGCGGGCCUCUUCCGGUCUCUCGGUGCUUCCACGUCGCGCCGUUUUUCGGGCUCGAGCACGAAAGCCCACAAGCGUCCGGACCUUUCGCCGUUAAGAGUGUCCCGACCUGCAGCGCCGCUUCCCUGCUCGACGCUGGAGCGCCGCACGCAGCCGCGCGGCGUCGAGGAACUGCAGCGGCCGAGUCUCGGCGACGCGGCCGCGCACAAAGCACCGCGACGCGAGGAGAACGCGCGCCCGUGGAACGGCCGCGUUUGUUGUUCUCGGCUGUCCAGAGGGCACACGACAUUGCCGCGGGACUUGAUCUCCCGGUUCCAUCGUGGGUGGAGCCACCGACUUGAUCUUCAGGAGCCUUCUGUUUGGCUCCCCGAGGUCUCAGUCCCUCAGGACUCAAAUAAAGUUCUUG